rnacentral:rRNA from 1 species
GAUGAACGCUGGCGGCGUGCCUAAUACAUGCAAGUCGAACGAAACUUCUUUAUCACCGAGUGCUUGCACUCACCGAUAAAGAGUUGAGUGGCGAACGGGUGAGUAACACGUGGGCAACCUGCCCAAAAGAGGGGGAUAACACUUGGAAACAGGUGCUAAUACCGCAUAACCAUAGUUACCGCAUGGUAACUAUGUAAAAGGUGGCUAUACUACCGCUUUUGGAUGGGCCCGCGGCGCAUUAGCUAGUUGGUAGGGUAAAGGCUUACCAAGGCAAUGAUGCGUAGCCGAAUUGAGAGGUUGAUCGGCCACAUUGGGACUGAGACACGGCCCAAACUCCUACGGGAGGCAGCAGUAGGGAAUCUUCCACAAUGGGCGAAAGCCUGAUGGAGCAACGCCGCGUGGGUGAAGAAGGUCUUCGGAUCGUAAAACCCUGUUGUUAGAGAAGAAAGUGCGUGAGAGUAACUGUUCAUGUUUCGACGGUAGCUAACCAGAAAGCCACGGCUAACUACGUG